rnacentral:lncRNA from 1 species
UUGAUAGACUGAUCGAUCGAAUGGAGAUAUCUUAGGUAAAAUCUAUUGGUAGGCCCUUGGUUGCAAAGAAGAAGAGCCCAUAUGAGAACUCACGCUUGACACCCCAUUCUUAUGCCGUGUAAAGCACAUUUUCAGAAGAGUGAUUGGCUUGCAGCCAUAUUGUGCACCUAGAAGUGACUUCUUCAUCUUGUCUUGAGGUAGAAGCUGGCCUUGGUUGAACAAGCAGCCGACCCUAUAGUAACGGAAAUAAUAGAAAGGGAAAGAACCAUUUCAAAAGCUAUGAUUUGCCACUAAAAAGAAGCCAAAAGUAAAAGCUCUCCGAGCACACAUAGGCAGAUACUAUUUAGUAGAACUUUAUGCGUACCUUGCACUUCUUUCCGCUUUGGAACUUUUUUCUUUUAAGUCCAAUCCUAGUGGCAAUAGAAAACAUUCAUCGAGAUUGAUUGCCCUACUUUCUUCUGCCUCUAUUUGUUCCUUCAGAGUAGACCAACUUCUGCUGUUGCCUGACCCUGUAGUUGAGCAUGCCUUCUUGACUCGCUUGACUCCCGGCACAAGAGGAUGAAUUGAAAAAAGGAGCUAAGGCUCCCAUUAGAAAGCACUGCUGGAAGAAUAGAGGC